rnacentral:misc_RNA from 1 species
AACCAUUCUCACCUGCGGCUAGACCUGCGGAGGGAUCAUUACCGAGUUUACAACUCCCAAACCCCUGUGAACAUACCACUUGUUGCCUCGGCGGAUCAGCCCGCUCCCGGUAAAACGGGACGGCCCGCCAGAGGACCCCUAAACUCUGUUUCUAUAUGUAACUUCUGAGUAAAACCAUAAAUAAAUCAAAACUUUCAGCAACGGAUCU